rnacentral:rRNA from 1 species
GCAGCCUGAUGCAGCGACGCCGCGUGAGGGACGACGGCCUUCGGGUUGUAAACCUCUUUCAGCACAGACGAAGCGCGAGUGACGGUAUGUGCAGAAGAAGGACCGGCCAACUACGUGCCAGCAGCCGCGGUAAUACGUAGGGUCCGAGCGUUGUCCGGAAUUACUGGGCGUAAAGAGCUCGUAGGUGGUUUGUCGCGUUGUCCGUGAAAACUCACAGCUCAACUGUGGGCGUGCGGGCGAUACGGGCAGACUAGAGUACUGCAGGGGAGACUGGAAUUCCUGGUGUAGCGGUGGAAUGCGCAGAUAUCAGGAGGAACACCGGUGGCGAAGGCGGGUCUCUGGGCAGUAACUGACGCUGAGGAGCGAAAGCGUGGGGAGCGAACAGGAUUAGAUACCCUGGUAGUCCACGCCGUAAACGGUGGGUACUAGGUGUGGGUUUCCUUCCUUGGGAUCCGUGCCGUAGCUAACGCAUUAAGUACCCCGCCUGGGGAGUACGGCCGCAAGGCUAAAACUCAAAGAAAUUGACGGGGGCCCGCACAAGCGGCGGAGCAUGUGGAUUAAUUCGAUGCAACGCGAAGAACCUUACCUGGGUUUGACAUGCACAGGACGCUGGUAGAGAUAUCAGUUCCCUUGUG